rnacentral:rRNA from 1 species
GACGAACGCUGGCGGCGCGCUUAACACAUGCAAGUCGAACGGGAGGGCGCUGCUUUUCUUUGUUACUCGAGUGGCGAACGGGUGAGUAACGCGUGAGUAACCUGCCCUUGAGUUUGGGAUAACUUCAGGAAACUAGUGCUAAUACCGCAUAGGAGCACCUCCCGCCAGGUGGGGGUGGGAAAGGUUCGGCGGUUGGGGAUGGACUCGCGGCGUAUCAGCUUGUUGGUGGGGUAGUGGCGUACCAAGGCUUUGACGGGUGGCCGGCCUGAGAGGGUGACCGGCCACAUUGCGACUGAACUGCGGCACAGACUACUACGGGAGGCAGCAGUGGGGAAGAUUGUACUAUGGGAUGAAGCAUGAUGCAGCACCGCCGCGUGGGGGAGGACGGCAAUCGGGUUGUAUACUGCUUUCGCCUUUGACGAAGAGUGAGUGACGGUAAUGGGUAAAGAAGCACCGGCUAACUACGUG